GUAGGUGAACCUGCGGAAGGAUCAUUAUUCUUCUCUAUCGGGAGGUUGUAGUUGGAGAUUGUUUUCAACAGGAAGCUCUCUCCUUCUCGCCCUAUCUGAUUUUACCCCAUGAUUUUUGUGUACCUUUUGUUUCCUUGACAGGUUCGCCUGUCAAAGGACCCUUUAAACCCGUUGCAAUUGCAGUCAGCGUCAGAUAAACUUAAUAGUUACAACUUUCAACAACGGAUCUCUUGGUUCUG
rnacentral:misc_RNA from 1 species